rnacentral:rRNA from 1 species
UCAAGAACCUUCCACAAUGGACGAAAGUCUGAUGGAGCGACGCCGCGUGACUGAUGAAGUGCUUCGGCAUGUAAAGGUCUUUUAUAGGGGAAGAAAUUAUUGACGGUACCCUAAGAAUAAGGAGCUCCCAAUCUCGUGCCAGCAGGAGCGGUAAUACGAGAGCUUCAAGCGUUAUCCGGAAUCACUGGGCGUAAAGGGUGCGUAGGCGGUUAUGUUAGUCGUUCGUUAAAUCCCCGAGCUUAACUUGGGA